rnacentral:rRNA from 1 species
AAAGAGCUCGUAGGUGGUUUGUCGCGUUGUUCGUGAAAUCUCACGGCUUAACUGUGAGCGUGCGGGCGAUACGGGCAGACUUGAGUACUGCAGGGGAGACUGGAAUUCCUGGUGUAGCGGUGGAAUGCGCAGAUAUCAGGAGGAACACCGGUGGCGAAGGCGGGUCUCUGGGCAGUAACUGACGCUGAGGAGCGAAAGCGUGGGGAGCGAACAGGAUUAGAUACCCUGGUAGUCCACGCCGUAAACGGUGGGUACUAGGUGUGGGUUUCCUUCCUUGGGAUCCGUGCCGUAGCUAACGCAUUAAGUACCCCGCCUGGGGAGUACGGCCGCAAGGCUAAAACUCAAAGAAAUUGACGGGGGCCCGCACAAGCGGCGGAGCAUGUGGAUUAAUUCGAUGCAACGCGAAGAACCUUACCUGGGUUUGACAUGCACAGGACGCCGGCAGAGAUGUCGGUUCCCUUGUGGCCUGUGUGCAGGUGGUGCAUGGCUGUCGUCAGCUCGUGUCGCGCGAUGUUGGGUUAAGUCCCGCAACGAGCGCAACCCUUGUCUCAUGUUGCCCAGCGGGUAACUGCCGGGGACUCGUGAGAGACUGCCGGGGUCAACUCGGAGGAAGGUGGGGACGACGUCAAGUCAUCAUGCCCCUUAUGUCCACGGGCUUCACACAUGCUACAAUGGCCGGUACAAAGGGCUGCGAUGCCGCGAGGUUAAGCGAAUCCUUUUAAAGCCGGUCUCAGUUCGGACUCGGGGUCUGCAACU